GGAAGUGAUAGUUACACUGCAGAGGAGUUCAAGAAUAACAUUGUAAGAGAGAGGGAAGGGAAGAAACCACUUCUUACAGGAGAUACAUGUGUGAGUCUCAAAGAUGGCAUUGGUUUGGUAGGUGAGAUUUCUUUCACUGACAAUUCAAGCUGGACUAGAAGCCGUCGGUUCAGGCUCGGUGCAAGAAUUAUAGACGACAAUGAUGGAACGAGAAUACUGGAAGCAAAGACUGCGUCAUUUGUGGUCAGAGAUCACCGUGGAGAAUUGUACAAAAAGCACCACCCUCCAUUUCUGCAGGAUGAAGUAUGGAGAUUGCAGAAAAUUAGCAAGGAUGGA
rnacentral:misc_RNA from 1 species